GAUGAACGCUGGCGGCGUGCUUAACACAUGCAAGUCGAACGGGAUCGGCUGGAGCUUGCUCCGGCCGUGAGAGUGGCGAACGGGUGAGUAAUGCGUGACCGACCUGCCCCAUACACCGGAAUAGCUCCUGGAAACGGGUGGUAAUGCCGGAUGCUCCAGUUGGAUGCAUGUCCUUCUGGGAAAGAUUCAUCGGUAUGGGAUGGGGUCGCGUCCUAUCAGGUAGUCGGCGGGGUAACGGCCCACCGAGCCUACGACGGGUAGCCGGCCUGAGAGGGCGACCGGCCACAUUGGGACUGAGAUACGGCCCAGACUCCUACGGGAGGCAGCAGUGGGGAAUAUUGCACAAUGGGCGCAAGCCUGAUGCAGCGACGCCGCGUGCGGGAUGACGGCCUUCGGGUUGUAAACCGCUUUUGACUGGGAGCAAGCCCUUCG
rnacentral:rRNA from 1 species